rnacentral:rRNA from 1 species
GACGAACGCUGGCGGCGUGCUUAACACAUGCAAGUCGAACGCUGAAGCUCAGCUUUUGUUGGGUGGAUGAGUGGCGAACGGGUGAGUAACACGUGAGUAACCUGCCUCCUUCUUUGGGAUAACGCCCGGAAACGGGUGCUAAUGCUGGAUAUUCACUGGUCUUCGCAUGGGGGUUGGUGGAAAGGGUUUUUCUGGUGGGGGAUGGGCUCGCGGCCUAUCAGCUUGUUGGUGGGGUGAUGGCCUACCAAGGCUUUGACGGGGAGCCGGCCUGAGAGGGUGAGCGGUCACAUUGGGACUGAGAUACGGCCCAGACUCGUACGGGAGGCAGAAGUGGGGAAUAUUGCACAAUGGGCGCAAGCCUGAUGCAGCGACGCCGCGUGAGGGAUGGAGGCCUUCGGGUUGUGAACCUCUUUCGCUCAUGGUCAAGCCGCAACAAUGGUUGUGGUGAGGGUAGUGGGUAAAGAAGCGCCGGCUAACUACGUG